CUAAUGUUUAUUUGAAUUGUAAAAUGUCAAUGGCAAAAUGUGCUCAAUGGUACUUUCCUGAAGGAAGAAAUAAGUUACUUUCCCAGUUUGCUUGAAGUCGAAUCCAGAUCUUCUGAAUAGCAGAACAGUUGUUUCUGUUGUGUGCAAUAUUCUGGCGCAGAACAGCAGUCUUUGAUCAUAGUGAUAAGUAUACAUUUAUUCAAAGAAGGCAUGUGCCAGAUGUUGGGUUUUAUCAGAGCGAACAAGAACAACACAGCCCCUCUCCAGGUGGAAGCUUGAUGAAUAUGCACAGGCAAAUUCUUAGUUAUAGGAACCCAAUUUUGAAGGAACCCAGAUUUGAGGGAAGGCUACAAUUUGUGGGAAUUAAGGGUAAUGAAUCUGCUUACAAUUUUCAAGUACUAAUAAUAUAUUUGCCAAGAUCAUUUACUCAUUUUUCUUAUAUAGUAAUAUUCUUAAUUGCAAGGGAAAGAAACUUAAGCUAUUUUAAACAAAGAGAAUAAUAUAUUGGGAUCCUAGAGUGUUUCAUAAUACUAAAGAGUUAUACUUCUGGGAGUACUAGAAUCAGGAUAGAAUCAGGAUGUAUUCCUUACUGUAAGGACUUCAUUGUUCAUUUCUGCAGAUCUGCAUCAUACAUUCCUCUCCAAGAUUGGUUACUUUUAGUUCAGUGUGAUGAAAACCAUUGCUGUUCACCUAUCGUAAUUGCUAAAUUCAGCCACUGUAGAAGAAAUUUCCUUGACCAUCACAGUUUCCAAGUCUAGUAGAAGUCCCAGAGACUUCUACUAGUUGGCCAGUUUAGUUGAGGUAUUUUUACCUGAAGUUUUGUUUUGGAAAGCACACUUAGAG
rnacentral:lncRNA from 1 species